UACGUAGGGUGCAAGCGUUGUCCGGAAUUAUUGGGCGUAAAGAGCUCGUAGGCGGUUUGUCACGUCGGGUGUGAAAACCCGAGGCUUAACCUCGGGCCUGCAUUCGAUACGGGCUGACUAGAGUUCGGUAGGGGAGACUGGAAUUCCUGGUGUAGCGGUGAAAUGCGCAGAUAUCAGGAGGAACACCGGUGGCGAAGGCGGGUCUCUGGGCCGAUACUGACGCUGAGGCACGAAAGCGUGGGGAGCAAACAGG
rnacentral:rRNA from 1 species